AAUGGCACAAAAUUCCCUUUAUAGUGCGCUACUUUUGGUCAAAAGUAGUGCACUAUAAAGGGAAUGUGGUGCCAUUU
rnacentral:pre_miRNA from 1 species